CGGGCAUUGUGAGGUGCAUCCCAGGGGCCAGAGCGGGCGACAUAGAAUCAAAUCUAAAGUUGCUGGCAAAGAGUAAUCGUAAGUUUGAUAGGAUAGUCCUCCAUGUCGGCACUAAUGACUCCCGACGUCGUCAGUCGGAAGCAACCAAAGUGAACAUUGAAUCAGUUUGUGCUUAUGCUAAAACGAUGUCGGACUCCGUAAUUUUCUCUGGUCCCUUACCAAAUCUGACCAGUGAUGACAUGUAUAGCCUAUAGCAUGUCAUCAUUUAACCGCUGGCUAUCGAGGUGGUGUCCAGAAAACGAGGUGGGCUUCAUUGAUAAUUGGAGAUCCUUCUGGGGAAAACCGAACCUGAUAGGAAGAGAUGGAAUCCAUCCUACUUUGGAGGGAGCAUCUCUACUAUCAGAAAACAUGGCACAUUUAUGACAUCUCAUGAAUGAGACCAUGUUACAGAGGGGGAGUCCUCCACGCCCCUCUGCGCUUGCCUUAGGACAGUUUCCCUCCCAUUGCUAUUAUGAUAGCUGUGUUCAUCGCCAUGACAACUGUUGUGAUGGUGAUGAAUAUUAUUUUAUGGAGACGGUGUCUGUCCCCCGACCCAUAUUUCACAAUGAUUUUAACAUAAAAUCAAAUAAAAGAGCUAUCAAUUAUAAAAAUCUGAAAAAAAUUAAAAUCUCAAAUCUAGAAACACCAAAACAUAAAACCAUUAGAUGUGCUCUAUUAAAUAUUAGAUCACUGAGAUCCAAAUCUCUACUAGUAAAUGACCUUAUCUCAGAAAAUAACUUUGAUUUAUUCUGUUUAACUGAAACAUGGCUGUAUCAAGAUGAAUAUGUUAGUUUAAAUGAAGCCACUCCUCCCAGUCAUUUAAAUACUCAUAUGCCACGAGACAUAGGCCGUGGAGGUGGUGUAGCAGCUAUUUAUCAUUCCUCUCUCCUAAUCUAUCCUAAACCAAAGGCCAGUUACACUUCCUUUGAAAGCCUGGUUCUAAAUUUAUCUCAUACCGAAUCAAAAACCUGCCAGCCAGUCUUAUUUGUGAUAAUUUACCGUCCUCCAGGCCCUUAUUCUGAAUUUCUAUCAGAAUUCUCUGAGUUUAUAUCAAACUUAGUCCUCAGUUCUGAUAAAAUACUGAUAGUAGGAGAUUUUAAUAUCCAUGUUGACAAAGAUAGUGAUAGCCUGAGCUCAGCCUUUAUGUCCCUAAUAGACUCAGUUGGCUUUUUUCAAACUAUUAAUGAAGCUACUCAUCGUUUAAAUCAUACUCUUGAUCUUGUUCUAACAUAUGGCCUUG
rnacentral:lncRNA from 1 species